AUCUGUCUCACCUUGCACCGCUAAAAUCUAUAAAGUGCUAAUGCAGGAUAUUUUUUCAGGAAAUUAUGUCUAUAUUAGACUCAGGAAAAGUUGAGAAAUGGAGAUGGAAAAGUACUAUGAACAUAACCCAUUUACAGCUUCAAUAUACAUUUUCAAAAUCGUGCUUAACACUCUUGUUCCAUCAGGACACGCAUCAAGAGCUCUGUCAAUUUGAAAGUGAGAAAAAAAAUACAGAAACAGAAGGUUUCAUUCCAUACAUGUCUAAAACCGACCACAUGAAGGUAAUUUGCCCAUUUUAAAUCAGAUUAUAAAGUAGAUAACAAUAAUAAUAAUUUGCAAGCAAAUAUCAUUAACACUGAAACUUCAUUUCAGCAAUACAUUACACAGUACUAUAAGGUCAAAAGUAAUGGACACACAUGUCCAGUUAAGCGAAAUCUUAAUAGAAAUCUUUAGACCGCAGCACACAAUCAGUGCAUAUACAUAAAUACAAGAAACCAGAUUCCAUGUACUGUAGUAACGUGGUUAUUGGAAAUCUUUGUAUUCAUGCAACAGGUUAGUAAUGAGAUUUAUUAUAGGAAUUCUGCUAUUAGAAACUCAGAAAUGACAAAUAGCCUGGCUAUGCCUUCUGUUUUCACAAAAUAGAUACUUUUCAAACCCAAGUCCUCUUUAAAUUCACAAUAUAAAUCGCAUGAUGACAUACUCCAGAGCUCGUAAUGCCACUCCUGCAGAAACUGAUCUUUUAACCUCUGCUCAACUGCCAGGUUCAGCCGUUUGAUAUGAUCACACCUCUGAUGCAACCAAAGAUUGGAACAAUCUAUACAAGAACAAGACCAGUUACUCAGUUUUUUGGGAUUAACCCUGAGCUCAGGAUCGUGUUGAACAAUUUAAUAUGAACAGGUAAGAAGAUGCAAGCUGUACUCUUAAUGUAUUCAUUCAAAACUUUAUCUGUGCCAGCAGCAUUACCACUCUUAAGGCUCUCUGCAAUUUCCUCCUCUGUAAAAUCAGCAUUUAGUGCCCCAGUAGCAAAUAUAUGAUCACUACUGACCUCUGUUAACUCAUCCCUUUGGGGUUCAAUAUCCGCCAGGCUUUUGAAGUGCUCAUAGAAGUCUUUCAACUGGACAGGACAUUCUUUAUCCUUAUUAUUGUCAGCCAACAUAUCCCAGUAUAGCUUUGGGUUUUUUACCUUCAUUUUCCCAAGCUCACUGUUAAAUUUCUUUCUAUGAGCUCUCUGUGCCUUAAUCAAUUCUCUUUUAUAUUCUUUACUUUUAGUCCUUAGGUUUUCCCCGUUUUCCACAUUUUUACAUUUAUUAUGCAUCCUCUUUGCUUUAAGAUAUGCCUGUCUUUUACAUCAACAUUCAAAAUUAAACCAUGCUGUUUUUUUCAUUUCAUUUCCACAUCUUUCUGGGGAAAGUAACUCGCACUAUUAAUCAUGACUGUGCAUAUUUCAUCAGUUAUUUCAUCCACGGACAUAACAUCCCAAUUAUGUAACAGAUUACCCUCAUUGCUUAAAUGUAUAUUUUCUACAUACUCCUCUCUUUUCUCCUGUGCCAUUUACCAAUUUCUGUCCCGUCUUUCAUCACAGAAUCCUGUGUGCAGUCAUGAUGAGUCACUGGUUCCCCCUUGUAAACUUUACAGCUCCCACACAACACCAAUUCAAUAAUACAGCGCUUAUCUGUGAACAGGCAAUUAAAAUCAUGCACAUAAUUCUUUUUCACUGUGCCUAAUAUAAAGGGGGAACCUAUCAUGUAGUCAAUCACAGUAUUUUUUUUUUUAUUUUUUAAGCCCUAUCAUUUGUUAGCCUUCGCCCAGUAACUUAGCCCACGCACUAAGCUGUACAAUGCCAGUGGAUGGCUGUUCAGUUGCAAUGCUCAGGAUGGUCUUCAUACUAUAUGUCUGUCUGCUUUGGUUCAGAAGAAACACAGGCAAUAUUGCAUUGAUGUGUUAAUUUGUUGUAUAUUUAGAGAUUUCCAUUCUGUUACAAGUAAAUAUCAUUUUAGAACCCAGAGAAAGCAUAUGCCAUAUUUUGUGAAGAAGCACCGAACCUUGGUUACAACUGACAAUUACUAACUGUACUUACGGGUACGUUCUUGUCAGCACCAGAGAGAUGGGGUGCCUGACAGACCCACCUGAAACCCCUGACAUGUCUGUAUCAGCCUGGAUUAAAAAUAUCUAGCACAUUUAAAAAUAUUUCCAUUAUUGUAAAUUUUUGGUCACUUUAGGAAAGUCAUCAAAUGUCAGACUAUUAUAAUGAAAUUAAGGUUGCUAUUAAAUAUCAAAUCUGACCCAAACAGUUAUUCUGUUCUGUCAGAAAUAAGUGUGCAUGUUUUGGAUUGAUUGGUACUUUGUCCCCCUAAUUUCUUUCUCUUUGUCUGUUCUCUUGUUCUGUCAUUAUAAUCUUGCAGAAUUUCUGUUACACCUGUUGAUCAGAUGACAAAGUACAUUGUCUUUGAAGACUGCCUGCUUGACCUUUUCAAGAAAUACUUGUUUUGCUUUGCCUGGGCUCAGUGCUCUCUAGUGAACAGGUGGAGAAGUCAGCCACAUGUGGGCAGCAUUCCAGCUGGGAUCCUUCAUGUGUCUGCAGCCUUUGCCUUUACAAGGUCAUCAUUUGCUCAAAUAAACAAGCUUACGAUAUACUGGUACUGAAAACAGGAGCAGAGGCUGCUCAUACAGGAGGUAGCUGGAGAUCGUGUGGACCUGGUGGGGACAUGCGUGCUGACUCUCCAGAGAGAGAAGAGGUAGAGACUGCAGUCCUGACUGCUCACAUGUGCCACCUGGUGGUUGUGGGUGCAGACUGCAGCUAGAGGUGGUUACAGUUGCCUCUGUGUGCUUCCGUGCCUCCCUCCAUCUCUCACUGCCGCAGUUUUACCGCGGCGCAGCACCAUUAACACUGCAGCAAUUGCACGAAGUGAAAGCAGAGACAUCUGUGUUUCCAAGAAACUCGACGCCCUCGGCAAAGAACUAGACUGCAAGGCUGUGGUUGCAUGGCGACCAUCAAUCAUAAACCACAUGUUCUGGAUGGCCGCUUCAUCACAGUCAAGUAACAAAAUGGUUGCCAAGUGGACCUCGGUGGUCAACCAUGUCCAGAACAUUCAUGUCCAUGAGAGCAACGACUUUCCCGCUUGCCUGCAACCAUCCCUCACUGGCAAGGCAGUGGCUGAAGCCAAGGCACAAAGGCAUGCGAGAAGCUCUGCAGUAUCAUCCUCCAGAAAAGCCUUCUAAAGGACAUCAGUAAAAUAAGCCCAAAACUCCUUCUCACUGCCAUCCAUUACAAUGAGAAUGCUGACAGGCCCCAGGCAACUGAUGCAGAUGGAAAUCCAUGCUUCCAGAUUAGCUACAGCAAGUGAAAGAGAGAGUACAUCGACUACUUCCUUGAGCUGCUGUUCAAGGACGCCCUGAUGUCGCCUGGGUACCAGAACCUACAGGGUUCCUACCCCCUCCCCCCUUAGCUCUCAGUUUGAGACCUAGACAAAGAUGACGCUGUGUCGGGAUACGUGACUCACUUUGCUUCAAGAACAUAAAACAACAGUGUGUUUGACUGAGAAGCAGGACUGCAAACGACCUGAGAGAGGAAGUUGAUGCUCUGAAUUCCUGUUCUAAAAGGGUGGCCCCAUGAUUUAGAUGUGGAGGAGCUCAGCAAGCAAAUAUAUGCCACCAUCAUAGUUGGUUACAGCCACUACCACUGAAUGCACAUACACUAACAGACAAAAUAUCUUUACAUUUCUAACCAGACAACAAAUUAAGCCAAUCUACUCCACUCCACUGAGCCUUUCUCUUCACCUGAUGGAAAUAAGCAACUUAUUUCUGACUGUGCAUAGACUUUUGUAAAUUGGUUUAUUUUGAAUAGAGUAUACAGAGUAAUUAAAAAAAACACUUGACUUUAAAAAGUUUGAGUUAGAUGGAAGGAAACUUGAAUCCUGUGUAGGUGCCUGUGGGGUCUGGGUACUGGGUGGAGGACAACGCAUACAAUGCAUACAUCAACUGUGUGAUAACACUUUGGAGAGGGCCCUUUUAUAAUGUUUGAACAUUAAAGAAAGGUCCAUUAAGAAGUUGUUGUCCAACUUUGACCAGCCUUUGUAGAGCCCUGACCUCAACCCCAUCCAACACCUUUGGUUUGAACUGGAACGCCGACUGUGAGCAAGUUUGGCUGAAUACGAGCAAAUCCCUGAGAUUUGCAACAACACAUGGGUGUGAUGUUCAAGUGUCCACAUACUUUUGGCCUUACAGUGUAUUUUGGAGGUGCAGGUUUAAAUGAUAUCAAACCAUGUGCAUUUUGAAUACAGAAUUCAGGAUCCUCCAUACCCUGAUCAGGUCCCUGGGACUUUUUCAUAACAGGAAACAGAGUUAGGAAGUAAUAAUUCACAUUUAAAAACAGGUACAACUAGUACUCAUAAAUGCAAAAUAUAAAAACAUUAAAAACCCAAGAAUAUUGCAUACAUAUAAAUGCCUGAACAGUUAAAGCUCCCAAAUUGGAUGUCUUUCAAGAGCCUUUAUGUACAUGUAUCUGUGGCAUCGCUGACACCACCUGUCUUUCAAUCUAGCUAUGUCUCACUCAUCACUUUUCCAGACUGAAGAUAUGAAAGACACACACACACACACACGCAUUUCCCAGACUGGAUAUGUCUAUUACAGCCUAAUGAGCAUUUAUGAAGAUACCUUGCAGGGAUAGACGACACAAGUUUCUGAGGGAGAGGAUGGUGUGUGUAUUUUGAAGAAGUUGCUGCAUGCUCUGUGUAAAAGUUGGCUAAACAUAUGAUAACUGUAUGUAACAAGCAAUCUGUGUGCAUGUGUGAGCUUAAGUUAAGACAGCGAGAACGACAGCGAUGGCCAGAUAUAUAAAACUGAGAGGAAAGACAGAAAGGAGAGACUCCUGAUUUGACUGAAAGAACCACUUAGAAAGGAGAAAUUGGACCACUGGUCUCCAUGGCAACCUGACGACCAGUGUAAAGUAAGACUGAAGAUGAGGGGGAAGGACACGGGGGUGGGGUGGGGGGAGGCUUUCGCCAGUGGCAGAGGACGUGCACCAGCCCAGCCUCACCCAAGCAACCCAGCAGAGAUCGAUAGGUUGAUUGGGUUCAGCCGUUCUGUGCCCACCGGUCUCUGCCCUGGGCCCGUCUAAAGAGAUGACUGCUCACAUCGUCUGGUGAACUAAAACAUGGCCUCCAAAACCACAGAGGAACAAAGAGAGGCAGGAGGCAGCAUAAGAGUAUACAGAUGUUCCCAAGGUGCAGAGCUUUGGAUAUGAAGUGAAGGCUGGUCUCAGAUGAGGCCGCAAAAUAAACUAUACUUUUACUGACCACAGGUGGUGAAGAGCAGAAAAAGAAAAUAGUAAUAAGUAAUAAAAAAGAAAACUUGAAUCAAACACCUACAUCAAAGGAGACCUCUCACAAUCCUUUGAAAUGACUGUAUAAUGAAAGAAAUGUAAGAGGUGGACUAGAAGUAAAAUUACUAUGUUUUACAUGCUCACAAUAAUUAAAUUGCUGCCUCUGUUCUGAUUAUAAAUUUAGUUAUGGCUAAGCUGUUUAUAAGCAAUAUUUUUCGCUGAAAUUACAACUUUCAGGGAGUCUUGUAUAUUGUUGAAAUAUGUCAAUCACCCUCACAACCACAGGCUUCAGGCUUCAGUCAUCUCCUUCCCUGCCACAAACUACAAUCAUAGAGCUCUUGUGUUAUUCUACACUGCUCCUCUGUAAUUAUCUGGAAAGUUAUUAAAGUUGAAAAUAAACCAAGUGUAAUGAGCAGUGUAUUCCAAAAAGACGGGAAGAAUUAUUAUCUUGCUUUGUCAUGUUGCAGAAAUUAUAAAUUUUUAUUUAAAAAUCUGUCUCUUAACUUUUAGUUUACACUGACCCACAUGACCUUCAUGGUGUAGAGUUGGUAAUACUAUGCAAUCAGUUUCAGGGUUCCCCACUGACGCAAGGACUUUGUAUCAGUCCCCACUCAUGAAAAUGUAUUUUAUAAUACAUGUGUGGUGACAAUUAAAUCAGGUAUUCCAAUUUUGAUGUGCAAUGGCUUGAUAUUCUUUGAAAAAACAGUUUUAAAAAUUCUCAGUUAUA